CCAAAGGCCCUUUUCAGGGCCACUACCUUCUCACUUAAAGGAGCUG
rfam:Mus musculus chromosome 13, GRC primary reference assembly.